AUUGAACGCUGGCGGCAUGCCUUACACAUGCAAGUCGAACGGCAGCACGGGAGCAAUCCUGGUGGCGAGUGGCGAACGGGUGAGUAAAGUAUCGGAACGUGCCCAGUCGUGGGGGAUAACGUAGCGAAAGUUACGCUAAUACCGCAUACGAUCUAUGGAUGAAAGCGGGGGAUCGCAAGACCUCGCGCGAUUGGAGCGGCCGAUAUCAGAUUAGGUAGUUGGUGGGGUAAAGGCCCACCAAGCCGACGAUCUGUAGCUGGUCUGAGAGGACGACCAGCCACACUAGGACUGAGACACGGCCCAGACUCCUACGGGAGGCAGCAGUGGGGAAUUUUGGACAAUGGGCGAAAGCCUGAUCCAGCCAUGCCGCGUGCAGGAUGAAGGCCUUCGGGUUGUAAACUGCUUUUGUACGGAACGAAAAGGACUGCCCUAAUACGGUGGUCCCAUGACGGUACCGUAAGAAUAAGCACCGGCUAACUACGUGCCAGCCGCCGCAGUAAGAC
rnacentral:rRNA from 1 species